rnacentral:rRNA from 1 species
GAUGAACGCUGGCGGCGUGCCUAAUACAUGCAAGUCGAGCGAACGGACGAGAAGCUUGCUUCUCUGAUGUUAGCGGCGGACGGGUGAGUAACACGUGGAUAACCUACCUAUAAGACUGGGAUAACUUCGGGAAACCGGAGCUAAUACCGGAUGAUAUUUUGAACCGCAUGGUUCAAAAGUGAAAGACGGUCUUGCUGUCACUUAUAGAUGGAUCCGCGCUGCAUUAGCUAGUUGGUAAGGUAACGGCUUACCAAGGCAACGAUGCAUAGCCGACCUGAGAGGGUGAUCGGCCACACUGGAACUGAGACACGGUCCAGACUCCUACGGGAGGCAGCAGUAGGGAAUCUUCCGCAAAGGGCGAAAGCCUGACGGAGCAACGCCGCGUGAGUGAUGAAGGUCUUCGGAUCGUAAAACUCUGUUAUUAGGGAAGAACAUAUGUGUAAGUAACUGUGCACAUCUUGACGGUACCUAAUCAGAAAGCCACAGCUAACUACGUG